rnacentral:rRNA from 1 species
GACGAACGCUGGCGGCGUGCUUAACACAUGCAAGUCGAACGGAAAGGCCCUGCUUUUGUGGGGUGCUCGAGUGGCGAACGGGUGAGUAACACGUGAGUAACCUGCCCUUGACUUUGGGAUAACUUCAGGAAACUGGGGCUAAUACCGGAUAGGAGCUCCUGCUGCAUGGUGGGGGUUGGAAAGUUUCGGCGGGUGGGGAUGGACUCGCGGCUUAUCAGCUUGUUGGUGGGGUAGUGGCUUACCAAGGCUUUGACGGGUAGCCGGCCUGGGAGGGUGGCCGGCCACAUGGGGACUGAGAGACGGCCCAGAGGGCAACGGUGGACAGCAGGGGGAAAUAUGGCACAAUGGGGGGAAGCGUGAGGCGGAGGCGCCGGGUGCGGAAUGACGGCCUUGGGGUGGUAAACCGCUUUCGCCUGAGACGAAGCGGUAGUGACGGUAAUGGGUAAAGAAGCACCGGCUAACUACGUG